rnacentral:rRNA from 1 species
UACAGAGGUCCCAAGCGUUGUUCGGAUUCACUGGGCGUAAAGGGUGCGUAGGUGGCCAGGUAAGUCUGAUGUGAAAUCUCGGAGCUCAACUCCGAAACUGCAUUGGAUACUAUCUGGCUGGAGGGUCGGAGGGGGGACUGGAAUUCUCGGUGUAGCAGUGAAAUGCGCAGAUAUCGAGAGGAACACCAGUGGCGAAGGCGAGUCCCUGGACGACUCCUGACACUGAGGCACGAAAGCUAGGGGAGCAAACAGG